rnacentral:rRNA from 1 species
AGUUUGAUCCUGGCUCAGAACGAACGCUGGCGGCAGGCUUAACACAUGCAAGUCGAACGCCCCGCAAGGAGAGUGGCGGACGGGUGAGUAACGCGUGGGAACGUGCCCUUCGCUUCAGGAUAGCCUCGGGAAACUGGGAGUAAUACUGAAUACGCCGUAUUGGGAAAGAUUUAUCGGCGAAGGAUCGGCCCGCGUUAGAUUAGCUAGUUGGCGGUGUAAUGGACCACCAAGGCUACGAUCUAUAGCUGGUCUGAGAGGAUGAUCAGCCACACUGGGACUGAGACACGGCCCAGACUCCUACGGGAGGCAGCGGUGGGGAAUCUUGGACAAUGGGCGCAAGCCUGAUCCAGCCAUGCCGCGUGAGUGAAGAAGGCCUUAGGGUUGUAAAACUCUUUCGCCGGAGAAGAUAAUGACGGUAUCCGGAGAAGAAGCCCCGGCUAACUUCGUGCCAGCAGCCGCGGUAAUACGAAGGGGGCUAGCGUUGUUCGGAAUUACUGGGCGUAAAGCGCACGUAGGCGGGCUUGUAAGUAGGGGGUGAAAUCCCAGGGCUCAACCCUGGAACUGCCUCCUAAACUGCAAGCCUGGAGGUCAGGAGAGGCGAGUGGAAUACCGAGUGUAGA